GAGAGGUUGCGGUUGCACGGCUCAAGCUACCGGACGGUAGCCUGACACCAAUACGUUGCCGGCCCACAUCCAGUUCUUGGGCUUCACAGUCAACUGGAAGAAGAGCAAUGUGCAGCCCCGUCAACAGGCAGUGUUCCUGGGGAUUCUCUUCGAUUCAGCCAGUAUGAAAGCGUCUCUCACUGGUCGGAGAGCGGACAGCUUGAUCGAGACCCUGAGAACAGCCUGUGGGCUGACUUCUCUUCUAUUUGAACCGGGACAGUUUUUCUGGAGAAAAGGAAGGCAGUCACAUCCAGGCCUCUGUCUGCCCUAGGAUAUGAAGAAGAGCUUUAACCGCAACGAGCCGCUGAAGCAGAACGCCAUCAGAGCGACUAGACACCACCUGCCCCGAGGCCUUCCUUCGUCUCCCCCAGCUGCUUGUCCUGGGACACCGCGUUUUGUUUUUAUAAUUGCCUUUGGCCCUACAACUGCCACAGACAAUAAAUGUUUGUGAUGUGGGAUCGGGGAUGAGGCUCCGAACUCUCCGGAGAUGUCAGUGUUUAUGUUUGGCUUUGGGAAGUUUCCUGUCCCUGCAUGAGACGCAGGUUCCCCAGGUUGUUGUCCUACAUGGUUACGUGAUUAAGGUAUGAUCAAUAGACAGCAUGUUUAUAAAAGGAUGCUUAAUAUAUUAUGUCAGUUUUUAUCUUCAUCAGCUUUCUAAGCUGAUGUUCUUUUUAGCAAAUGGCAAUUAUUUCAAAUCGGACCAAAAACACUUACGGACUGUGCAAUAUAGAUUGAAUCAUUGCAAAUCCAUCCUCCUAAAUCACUUGACGCAUUGAAAAUGCAGCAUUGAUGUUGGCAACACAUAAAGAAAA